UACGAAGGGGGCUAGCGUUGUUCGGAAUUACUGGGCGUAAAGCGCGCGCAGGCGGCUAUCCAAGUCAGUGGUGAAAGCCCGGAGCUCAACUCCGGAACUGCCAUUGAAACUGUUUAGCUUGAGGACGAGAGAGGUGAGUGGAAUUCCCAGUGUAGAGGUGAAAUUCGUAGAUAUUGGGAAGAACACCGGUGGCGAAGGCGGCUCUCUGGACCGACACUGACGCUGAGGCGCGAAAGCGUGGGGAGCAAACAGG
rnacentral:rRNA from 1 species